CUUCCCUUAAAAUUUUCGGCCCAGUUCCUGUUAAUCUUAAAGGUGGCACGCUGAACAUCAAACUUCACGCAAGUACAGAGUAUAUGUUCCACCGUCAAUGCUACAUUACAUCUCUCACAUACUGGAGCAUUCUCACCUUUCAGCAAGUAUCCAUGUGUGAGAGCAGUGUGCCCUAUCCUCAGCCUGUAUAGUUUGGUAUGGUUAUAUCGUCCCACCUUCAUGUGGAACAGCGGACCUGGGCUUGGUUUGACCCUUCUAAGCCUAGUUUCCGUCUCCGUCCACGCUUCCCUCCAUUUCUCCAUCAACUGACUCAUCACAAUCGACCGUCUUGAUCUUUUCGUCGAGUCUGCGAAAUCAGUCUCGCCCAAUCCCAGUUCAUCCAAUACCUAUACCUCUCCAGAUCGUAUGCCUAACGGUCUACAUGCUCUUAAUCGCGCAGUUCUUGUUCUAUCUGUAAGUAUUUGGUGGUUUGGAUGGUUUUCCUGCAGCGAUAUGUUCAGACAAUACUGAGUGAUGAUCUGCUUUCUUCGCAGAGCCAGCGGGUGAACGUUUGCCUCGACGUGGAGGGCAUCAGUCGGACUUGUUGGAAAAGCUCCAAGUGGAGUGGACGUUACAGCCGUAGUCGAGCUUUGAAAGUAUCAGAGCCUUAUAAACGUCAAGAAGCGUUUUUGGAUCGGCUCCCCACUUGUGAUGUGCGAGUACUCUGAUAAUGUUUAACAAUUUUCGACAAGACGUUACCAGCCCUUCGACAUGUCGUUUCCACCUCAGCUCGCUAUCGAAAACCAGACCUAAAAAUCUGACCUCCUGGGGCACAACUAUCAUUCGGCCAUUCAGUUUUUUCUUCUGACAGCUCGAAACCCACUUCCUUCGUGUUCGUAGAUAUGGAGUCGAUCGCGUCUUGGAGUUUGCGCGUCGCACCACCGACAGUUUCAUUCGCGCAAGCUAUCAUUAGGUCGUCCACGUACAGGCGUUUAUCGAUCUCGUGCGUGACACCUCGUGUAAUCUCGUUUAUCGCUAUUGCGAAAAGCGAACAAUUCAACGUCGAACCCUGCGGGACACCGUUCUCCAAGACGCGUUCUUUGGAGUAAACGUCGCCAAUCCUAACGGUAAAACUUCGUCCCUCGAGGAACGACCGGACAAAUUUGGGUCAUGUCGUACGCGCCUCUAAUGUCGAAGAGAGUUGCUACCAGGUGUUUGCGCUCGUCGAAUGCCCGCAGGAUAUUAUCGCCGAGCCCGACAAGAUGGUCAGUCGUCGAUCGCUCCUUGCGAAACCCGGCCUGAUAUGGUACCAGCACUCCGCUACUCUCCAAGUAAAACUGGAGUCGCACGUUAACCAUUUUUUCGAGCAGCUUUCCCAAACACGACGUCAGGCUGAUUGGGCGGUAGUUCUUCGAGAAGAGUGGGUCCUUUCCCGGCUUCGGAAUCGGGACCACAAUGGCCUUUUUCCAUUCCCGGGGGUCAUCGGUGCAAUGACGAAGCAUCUCAUUGUGGAUACCAUCUUGCGGAUUCUCCAAUAUCGUGUCGUCAGUACCGCGAAGGAAAUUGGGAUGCCUGGUACGAGACGAGAUCGACCAGAUAUGGCCCCGAUCUUCCCCCAUACCUCAUUCGAUGUAGCGUCCGGUGUGAUAGUAGACACGUAACGCUGCCAAGACGUUCUUUGGGCAUUGAGAAUCGCUCGUCGACACUGCUCUCUUCUUUUUAAACUCGACCAAGUUUUCGUUACUAGGACGACGUUUAAAUUGCCUCAAGGCCUGUUUUUUAACAUUUAUUUUUUGUUUUAUUUCAGGUGUCCACCACGGAACCCUGCGUUUGAUGACACAGGACCUCGAUCUUGGGAUGCAUUCUUCCGCCGCUUUCAAGAUGGAGUCGGUAAGUGAUUUUACAUUUGGGUUUCCCUCGUCGGGAGGAACGAGUUUUUCAGAGAAAGCUUUCCAAUCAGCUUGCCAUAGCUU